GCUUGUCAAGAUGGUAAAUGUCUCAAGCUUUAGCAUCUCAAACAUUCCAGGUUCCAAAAACAACGAUUUGGAGGCGAUUGCAAAGAUCGGCUGGUAACAAUGGUAGUAGCAAACAAGAGAGGAGAAGGCGAAACCAAGUUGCGAUGCUCAAAGCAGAUUUUCUCGAUGGAAGCUCAGACGAUGUUGCCACAGCAAUCAGCUCGGACACAGGAGAGGAGUUCACCUUCAGUGAGGUAGUGCCCAUGACCUACCUGAAUGUAGGAGAGGGUGGUGAAGUGAAUGAACAUUCAUUGAUAAUCCUGACCCCUUCGAAUGAAACAUUAGAUCUACAGAAUGUCGUUGUGGAAGAAGAAAUCACUGAAAUUUCCGCAGAAGAUGCCCAAGCGGAGGAGGACGAGCAAAACCAAGAUCAAGAAGCAGCCGUCAUGGAUCACUCAAUUCUGGGAAUAGACUGCAGUUGAAGAACUCAGGCACAAAACGAAUCCCACGAGUGCCAACCCACCGCUACAGCUGAGUUAUGUAUUGAGAUUCAGGCUGCCACUCAAAAUUAAACUAAGCCACUCAUUAUUGUAGGAAACCUUCCUGAACAGGACUGAGUUAAGCAGAAAGGAACCAACCCACAUUUUGGAAAAAAUGGAGUUAUGAGUGGUUUUGAACUCAACCACUGCUCUACUAUCUAUCGCCAAAAAUUCAAAGUUUUUGCUGGAGCAAAUUUUGCAGAAAUUGAACUUGAAGUUUAUCUUUUACAUUGAGUCUUAUGCAGGAACCAAACUUUAAACCUAUUUUUCUCGGUUCGAUCCCGAUGUGGCUUGGUUCCUUUCUGUUUAACUCCGUCCAACGAUACUAUGCAGUAGCUUUGUUUGACCAGUUUCCAAAUUUUGUUUCGUAUCAACGAUAGUAGGUGUUUAACCCAGAAGGAACAGCAGUUAUCUUGGGUAGCUUCAAAAUUAUCUUUUUCGCCUCGGCCAUUGCAUGUCUGAUAAUGUCGCUAGUUCCACGUCUUUACGAAUGUAGUCUUAUUUGGAAAUAUUCACUCAAAAGUUACUUGCACAGUGUCAAGUGGCCUUAUCAAGCUUAUGUGUGUAUUUUUUUCUGGACUCAAUGUUUUCUCUGAAACAGGUUCGGUGACCUUCAGUGUGUUGUAUACUUAUUUUUAGCAGUGAAGCCUAGUUUUUGUUUUCUAGUCAAGAAAUGGAGCACAAGUAGGGUAAAACGGGAAGCAACCGGAAAUAAGUCGAUAAGCCAUCGUUUGAUGCAUACUGUGUGUGAUCAGAUAUUGAUCAGUGCUCACGUUGCUUCUUUCUGAGAUCUUAAAAUCUCAUUUUGACCUACUCCAAGCUAGCCUGCAGCAGUGCAAAAUUAUCAAAUAACUGUUAGAUAAAGCAAGAGAAUAGCUUUUUGAGAUCUAACUUUUAACAUCUCUUUACUCAAAACUUCUAUACAUUCUUAACAAAACGUUAUUAGAUAUGAUACAAAUUUUCCAAAAUCUCAUGAAAACUGAUGAAUUCAGUUUUUUGCUUGCCUAAGCCAGCCAAUAAACGGAGUAUCUAUUAAUUUAAUUAUACAGUGGAGCCGGUAUAUAACGAAGUUCACGGUUCCCAGAAAAACUUCGUUAUAUCCGGAACUUCGUUAAAAGCGGACUCUAUUGAGUGUAUAGGGAGGUUCCAGGGGAAUGAAAAUUACUUCGUUAUAUCCGAAACUUCGUUAAAAGCGGGUUCAUUAUAUACGGGCUCCACUGUAUUUCUCACUGAUUUUUGUCUAAAUAGUCAGUGUUUCAAUUUUUUGCACAUAUUUCAAUUGUUUAGUGAAGUUAUUUUACCAUCACAGCCAGCUCUCUUGCAAAUAUCUCUAUACCCCUAAAAAAAUUGAAUAAAAAAAUUGUAACAUGCCGCGCAAGGCUGAGUUGAUUCGUUCCUUAACAGUCCCAAUAAGAAUAUAGAUUUAUCACUGCAGUUGACCCACAGGUUCAACGGAGACAAAAACACAAGACAGACAUUUGCAGGCAAAGUGUCAUGAAGCACUCUCUGUGCACCCCUGAAGUAAAAUUUGAGAAAUCAAUGUUUGCUUAUAUGAUGUCAUAGACGCAUACGAGGGCUGUCCCAAAAGGAACCGGACUUUUGUCAUUGAAGGCAAACCGAGCGUUGUAAUGAAGUUUUCUUGGGCUUGUUUGAAAGCUGAUGAGCUACUGGAAAUGCUUGUUUUUACAGAAUGCAAAAUUCGUCUUGGUAAGGAAACUACACGCGUUGGAAUAAAGGAAAGUCAAACUCGAGUUGCGAUUUUUGUCUUUAUUUCAAGAAAAAUUUAGAUACAACUAAAAAAACCCAGGGUUUAAGUUAAAAACUUCGUUGCUCUCUUAUUCAAAUGCUUAAAUUUAAGGAAAUUAACAUUUUAAGCAGCUUACCAAGUCAUCACUUAUCCCCUUCAAAAUACUCGCCAGCUUUGUCGAUGCAUUUUUGCCACCGUUUCUUCAAUUGGGAGAAACACUGUUGGAAAUCCUCAGGUUUGAAUGAUCGCAAUUCCUUCAAGGUGAAACUGUCAAUCGUGAAUAUUACAAUGGUGUUCUGAGACGAUUACGCGAAAAUGUCCGCAGAAAAAGGCCCGAGCUUUGGAGAGAGAAUUCCUGGUUUCUGCAUCGCGAUAAUGCACCUGCCCAUGCAUCCCUCCAAAUUCGCGAAUUUUGUGCAAAGAAUGCCAUGAGCGUCCUCCCUCAUCCCCCUUAUUCACCUGACCUGGAUUCGUGUGAUUUUUUCUUAUUUCCACGACUUAAAUCUACCUUGAAAGGUCGACGUUUUCAAACCAUUCCGGAAAUUCAAGAGAACACCUUGAAGGAAUUGCGAUCAUUCAAACCUGAGGGUUUCCAACAGUGUUUCUCCCAAUUGAAGAAACGGUGGCAAAAAUGUAUCGACAAAGCUGGCGAGUAUUUUGAAGGGGAUAAGUGAUGACUUGGUAAGCUGCAUAAAAUGUUAAUUUCCUUAAAUUUAAGCAUUUGAAUAAGAGAGCAACGAAGUUUUUAACUUAAACCCUGGGUUUUUUCGAGUUGUAUCUAAAUUUUUCUUGAAAUAAAGACAAAAUCGCAAAUCGAGUUUGACUUUCCUUUAUUCCAACGCGUGUAGUUUCCUUACCAAGACGAAUUUUUGCAUUCUGUAAAAACAAGCAUCUCCAGUAGCUCAUCAGCUUUCAAACAAGCCCAAGAAAACUUCAUUACAACGCUCGGUUUGCCUUCAAUGACAAAGUCCGGUUUCUUUUGGGACAGCCCUCGUAUCUUAUCCUUUGGAUCAUUCCUAAUGAAAGGACAUCGCACCAAAAAAUUUGAAGCCGGCUAAAUUUAGGUGUUAUUCAAAACUAUGUUCCUCACAGCCUCCAGAGCACUAUGAGCUUUUAAAAUCAAGCUUUCUAGUUGCCAAUUUUGUGAAAAGCGGGGAUAAAAUGUGAAUUUUUUGGUAUUUUUCAUGUAACACUAUGCUCAGUAAUUUUCCUCUGUUUAUUCAUCUUGUCAAGCAUCUGUAUCAGAGAAAUAUCAUUCAGUCAAAACCAAGUACCUUUUUUUUGGCGUUUCUGUGAUUUUACUUGUAUUACGUCUAGUGUAAGUGUCUCUCCCUCUCUCAUUAAGAAUUUAAAACAGCAUCAUAAAUUUGCUGUUACCCCAUUAUAGGAUGAAUAGGAUUAAUCAAUUAGCAAGCUAUGGAAAUCAUGGUAGAACCAAGACAUCAGAGAGAUAGGUUUCCUAUAGAGAGAAGUCUUUCAUCCUUGAAAGGUUUCGUUAACUUUUACCAUCAACCCUUUUUGUUUUUUGUUUCCUUUGUUUUUUUUUAUUUUAGUUUUUACAAAUGCUCAUCUAAGAUUAUAUGUGUGAAUUGAAUAGGUUUUUUUGAAGUCGUCCAUAAAUGACUUCUUCCGAAGAACAGCAUUUUAACCUUAACCUUUUGUCAUGUACCUGUCGUGCGGAUUUGAACUCGCCUGAAUAAUGGAACAGUGGCAAGGGAUUUAUGCAGGGUUGUAGUAUAGUUUUUCCUAAGUAGAAUUUUGUGAAAAAACGAAGGAGUUCAUUGAAAUUUAAUCUCUGUGAAGGAAAAAGCUAAUUGAAAACCAACCAAUCUAAAGGGGACUGUCGAAAUGAUGUAGCAAGACAAUGCCUGAAGCUAAGUUUAGCUGGUCAGCAAAUGCCGUUUCCCCCGACUGGUUAUAUCAUCAGAGCCCGCCAUAAUUUUCAUCAAGGUUUGGCAAAAUUUAAACCAAGGCAUCAGUAAAAGAACAUAUGAGUUCAGGAUUUUACAAGCCUUAUUGUAAAAUGCUCUCAUGUGUUAGUUUGACAAAGGUUCACCAAACUUAUUUUUUCUUUUGAUUCUACUCGUAAGUUUCUCACUAAGCUUCAUUUUAUUUUUUGACUGUUGUACAAAUGAAGAAUAUUUUGUUUUUGUCAGGUGUUUAUUCUUAUUACCUGUACAGUUACUAAGUAUUAACUCUUCACAAAAAAUUUACCAUGUUUUGUAAUUUUUUUACUCGCGACUAUGAUUAAUGUUGUUGUAAAUAAAAUCUUUAUUUAUUGAUUUAAAUUUUGUGAAUAAAUAUGUUGCCUUGACAUUCAAUUGCUAUUUUCUUAACCAAACCAUGAUAUACGACACUUAUCAUCGAAAAAUCCUUUAACCAUCAACUCUUGGAUUACUACCAGGGGGCUCUCUUAAAAUAUGUACCAAAGCUAAAUUUCGGAUUUUCCUCCUAGAUUAGGCAAUGCGAAAUGCAGUUAUGGUGAUUCGGUGGUUCCGGGAUGAUCCAUUCAUUUUAAAGUGAAAAUUCCUCAUCAAAUUUCUCUUCAAUAAGAUUAUAGAUUGGGGCACCACACUGGAAAAAAAAAACAAUGGAUCUAGAGUCCAGACUCUUAAAAACAUCGACAAGAAAAAGUACUCUUGAUUCAAUCAGAAUCUAGCUUAAAUCAAGAACCAAGCCUCUUGAUUUAAGCGGAUUUCGUUUUGAUUCAAGUAAAAAUCCGAUUGAAUAAAGAGUAUUUUUUCUUGUCAAUGUUUUCAAGAGUCUGGACUCUAGAUUCAAUGUGUUUUUUUUCCCAGUGCAAGAAAUUAAGACCCUAGCCACAAAAAUUCCAGACCUUCUGGAUCCCAUGGCUAAAAUGUUAC
rnacentral:lncRNA from 1 species